rnacentral:RNase_P_RNA from 2 species
GAAGCCUGCCAGACCGUCGCUGGUGCAAGCUGCAAAGCCAUGGCGAAAGAUUUUCUUUGGCCAUGGGCCGAAAGGCCGCACUGGAGGAACGUCCGGACUGCACAGGACAGCGUAGGAGGUAACACCUCUCCACCGAAAGGCCGCAAGGCAACAAGGUGAGGAUUAGAGCAACAGAGACGAGCCGAUUCAGUUCGGGUGAAACGGGCAAUCUCUACGCGCAGCAAUACCAAAUAGGCACACGUUGAUCUGGUUCCGGAGAGUGUGCGGGUAGGUAGCACCGAGCCGAGUGGGCAACCCUCGGCCCAGAGUAAUGGCGGUCACAUUGAGGGCAACUUCAAUGCACAGAAUCCGGCUUAUCGGUAGGCUUCACAC